rnacentral:lncRNA from 1 species
UAAUUGUAAUCAAUAACCAUGUAUUCGGACCAAGUGGAGCAAGUAAACAUGUGAUACAGCUUCUGCCCUUUGACGGACAUUCUUGAAGUGCCAUCUAACAUUAGACCACUACGGCUUAAAGGGUAUGUCAGGCAUAAAUUGGUGUUCGCUGAUGUACAAUUCUCGCAGGCGUCACACUCUGCUACCAUUGUCGGUAUCACAUAAUCUCCCUCUUCAAGACCAAUGACUUCAUCCCCAAAGCUCUCCACCAUUCUUCAAUGGGAGUACAAUUCAAGUUAUUGUAAGAUCAACUCUUUCUUCAUCAAAAGCUAGCUAGCCCAGCUUUUGGGUACUAGUUUUGCUAUAUGUAGUAAGAAGAGGGCUUACCCAACGCCUUCGUGGCCCAGGACUCGAGGAAAAAGUGGCUGGAAAAGGAGAUAAAAUGGAGAAACAAAGUAAGCUUGAAAGACAUUAAUAAUAAUUAUGCAAGGAUGAUCAUGAAAAUCAAGUAAAUUGUAUUACCACACGAUCUCCUUUGCGUCCGGCACGUAAGACAUCAGUGUGACACACGCUUGCAUAUAGCAUCCUCACUCGAACUUCAGUUGAUUUUGGUGGUUCUAUUUGUAUCUCUUCAACCUUCAAUGGCUCCCCACUUCCCCAUAUUACUGCCGCUGUCAGAAGAAGCCCAGAUGGCAAGUUAACAACUGAAAGCAGAGGAAUUAUCUUUCUGUGGCUACGCGCGCAACACAGAUGAAGAAAACUCAUUCAUCAACGUACCUUUACAUGUUAUAAUCUGUGAGCUGCGGCUCGUCGACAUUGCAGAGGAAUGCUUAUGCAGUGCAGGCAGCUAACAAAUCUAAAGUAGGAGUUUUGAUUUUAGAAUAUGGAUUGCUGAGGAAUGCUUUUGCUUAUACAGUGCAGGCAGCUAACAAAUCUAAUGUGGAGAGAGAAAAGGGUAGAAUGGGACAACUCCUCCGGACCUCACCUGACCUUAAUUUAGGAUUCGGACUCCUCCCUCCUCUAUCUGUAUCUUAUGCAAUGUUACGGCAGUUGUUUUACAACGAUUGUCUAUUUCUGUUUCUGAAUUGUUUUUCAAAAUUAUUUUUUAUUUAAAAAAUAUUAAAUUAAAUUUUUUUUAACUUGUUUGCAGAAGAUUUUAAUGUACUAAUAUUAAAAAUAAAAGUAUUUUGAUAUAUUUUAAAUUAAAAAAAGUUUUUUAAAAGUUUAUCACAAUAUCAAAUAUAUAAAUUAUUUUUUGUUUGAAAAACAUAUUAAAUUAAUAUGUUUUUUAAUAUUUUUAGAAGAUAUUGACAUGUUAAUUUUAAAAAUAAAAAUUAAUUAAAAAAUAUUUUAAUUUAUUUUAAAUUAAAACUUCUAUUAUGAGCUUUCAAUUAUUGAUGAUAAAAGACACGUGGGGUCUAAAUUAACGAGUCUUGAAAAAGAUACCUAUAUAAGAAAAAAGUUGUCUUUCCUGUUUAGGAUACUUUGUCAUAAAGAAUAAUAUUUGGUUUUAGUUAUCUUUAUAUAGAGAAAAUUAUUGGUCACCGAUCACCCACCUACUGACUUGUACAUAUUAGUAUGGUACAAAAAUCACACACUAGACUUGUGAAAUUAAUUAGUUCUUGCUUCUGCUGUCGGAAUUAAUAUAGUAUUAUGUUCUAGAUCAUUGCUCUGCCCACCACGUCACUUGUUGAUGUCCAAGUUUUGUUGCCCUCAAGUUUAAUGUCUUAUUUUUGUGUUUGAAUUGGUUUUUAAAAUUAUAUUUUAUUUAUUUUUAAGUUUUUUUAAAAAGAUUUUAAUGUUCUAAUAUUAAAAAUAAAAAAUGUAAAAAAAUAUUUUGAUGUAUUUUAAAUUGAAUUUUUUUUGAAAAACAAGCACCACAAUACCAAAUACAAAUUAUUAUUUUUUUGAAAAAAAUAUUAAAUUGAUAUUUCUUAAAUAUUUUAAGAAAAUUUUAACAUGCUAAUAUUAAAAAUAAAAAAAAAUUGAAAAAAUAUCUUUGAAAAACAAGCACAACAAUACUAAACAUACAAAUUAUUUUAUGUUUGAAAAACUAUUAAACUUAUAUUUUUUUCAAUGUUUUUAGAAGAUUUUAAAUGUUAAAAAUAAAAAAUAUUUUUUUAAAAUUAUAUUAAUGUAUUUUAAAUUGAAACUUCUGAUACGAGCCUUCAAUUAGUUUAAAUAAAAAUAAUUUAUGAUAAUAUAUGUCAAGAAAUUAUAAUUCAAAUUUUAUAGCUAUUUUUUUAAACAAAUAAUAAGAUGUUAUUGAUUAAAAUUUAAAUACAUUGACACAUAAACAAUUUAUAUGAUUAACCAUAGAAUUUACAUUAUUGUUGAUUGAUUGGUUUUUCAAUAGCAAUAACAAUUAAUAGAUUAUCACGAAAGGAUAAAAGAGUGAUGGUUGAGGGUGGUGUCACCCUCUGUAAAAAUAAGAGCGAAUCUUACUUUUGGUUUGCUAUCUAAUAAUCAUGAAUUUGAGUUAUUUUAGGAUUAUUGAGGGAUUAUCUAGUUAUUAACUUUAAGGCAUAUAAAAUUAGUGAACAUACACUAUUGGUUAAUUUCGCAAAUGCACGAAUCGUAACAAGUAAUAAAGUGAUGAGUAGAGUAUUGUCACACGAGAAUUUGUAAAAAUUACUACUAAUUACCAAAGUCCUUUUAAGUUAUGAUCUAUUUGAGGAAUCGAAUGAGAUAGUUUUCAAAACAUAAAUUAAUAAUUAAAAACAAACAACUAGCUGAUUAAAUAUUAUUGAAUUCAAUUCUAUUGGUUUUAGGAUUUAUGACUUAUUGUAACUAUUUCUAUGUGAACUUUCUCAAUUGAAUUAAUUACUCCUAGCGUUGAUAAUCAGGUUUUUCUAAUUUAAACACUAAUCUCUCUCGAGCAUCAAUGAAUUAUUUUGAAAAAUAAACUUCAUAUACUUUAUGAAAUUUCUAAACUUUUCAAAAUUUAUUAAGUACCGUAAAACCUUUAACGAUUACAAAAGUUCCUUGGAUAUCUCUAUCCUAUAGAUUUCUUAAGGUAUUUCAAACAAUGACUAAAACAAUUAUCACCUCUCAAUCUCAAAUUGAAUUCUAAUGGGUGAUCUACCCAGUUGAAAAAUAAAAGUGGUCUCAUUUUAAUUGGUGACCUACCCACAUGGAAAAUGCAAAGAUGGUCUCAUUAUAAUGGGUGAUAUACCCAAAUGGAAGAUAAAAAAACAUUUUUAUUGUAAUGGGUGACCUACCCACAUGGAAAAUGCAAAGAUGGUCUUAUUGUAAUGGGUGGCCUACCCAAAAUUUGUUGUGAUGUCGCGAUCGCACAAAUUAAUUACCCUAACUUCAAACACAACGCACAAGAUAGUAUAGAGCAAGCAAGGGGUCGAUCCCACGAGGAAGGUUCAAGUCAGAUUUUUAUGCUAGGUGAUAUGCAAUUUAGGAGGGGUUUGAACAUUAUCUAGGCUAAAGCAAAAGAAAACAGAAAACUAUCAAACAAAAUUUAAUAAAAUUAGAAAAUUAUCAAGAGAACAAACCUUGGUCGCAAUCACACUUCCACCUAUAGAAAUCAGAACUGAUCAUGGAAACAAAACAUCAAUUUAUAUUCUGAAUAUUUAUCUCUUCUUAACAUUAGUUAGUUAACGGAUAUGCCAUAUAACUAGCCCUGACCAUCAAACAACCAUAGUGUCCGCACUAGUAAUUUAAUUUAAUGGCAUCCUUAAGAACUAUAUAAGUUGAUUAAUCAAGAAAACAUAAUUGUUCGCAGUCUAUGUUUGAUUUGAUUGAAUGUUUUCCCUAAGAUUAAUAACAUACAUCCGCCACAAUUAUUAAACUCAGUUACUUUACAAUUUCAUAUACCACAACUCCGGUUUUGAUAUCAAACUUAGCAAUAAAUUGUCUAUAAUAAUACUUAGAAUCCGCUCUAGCAAUUAAAAUAAACAAUCAUAGGAAAAAUAAGCAUAAGAGAACAAACAUAUUCAUCAUAUAAACUGAAAAUAAAAGGUAAAAUAAAUCUCACAGUUCUUGAAAUCCGAUGGUUUCCGUGUCUUUGCAACCAAGAAAAUGAGUUUAGCCUUGCAUGUUUGUUGAACAACUAUUUAAAAAGAUGGAAGAAUGCAUGAUUUAGGAUUUCUUAGAGGAGGGGGGUGUUUUUCUCUUGUUGGCUGGCUGCCCCCUUUCUCUUCUCUAAUUCUUUUUAUAUGCUAGGAAACCCUGGUCUCUAUUUUACAAAAUAGUCCUCCCUUAAGUAGACAUUUUACAUUUAAGUAGUUCAAUAACUAUUUUCCUAAAAAAGAAGAAAUAGCCUUGCAUGAAGUCUUCAAGCUUUGACUUAGAGGAGCUAAAUUUCUGAAAUAAAAACUUGGAUGUCGGUUUAGAUGCUUCGAAACGUAAUUUGGACUCGUUUCUUCAUGAAACGUGUUUCCUGGCAGAAUUCAGUUGUCAUCUUUAAAAAAUCAUAUGUCCCUCAUAUGACAUCGUUUUUUUCUGAAAUUUGGAGCUUUUAUAUUUAUUUUAGUCAAGAAUCUAAAACAAUUGAGUUUGCAUCAAUUGGACUUCUGUAGCUCCAGAUAUUCAAGUCGGAAUGACCAAAGGUCAACAUUGAUAUAUUGCGAGAUUUGACUUUGAAAGCUGUGAUUUCCAUUCUCUUCCUUAUUUAUUGUCUUGCCUUAGAUGUCUAGAAAGGUAUGGAUUAACCAUAGAAUUUACAUUAUCGUUGAUUGAUUGGUUUUUCAAUAGCAAUAAUAAUUAAUCGAUUAGCGGAAAAGGAUAAAAGAGUGAUGGGCGUGGGUGGUGUCACCUUUGUAAAAAUAAGGGUGGAUCUUCUUUUGGUUUGCUAUUUAAUAAUCAUUAAUUUAAGUUAUUUUAGUGUUAUUGAGGUUUUAUAUAAUUAUUAACUUCAAGGCAUAUAAAAUUAAUCAACGUACACUGUUAGUUAAUUUCGCAAGUGCAUGAAUCGUAAUAAGUAAUAAAGUGAUGAGUAGAGUAUCGUCCCACGAGAAUUUAUAAAAAUUGCUACUAAUUACCAAAGUUUUUUUAAAUUAUGAUUUAUUUGAGGAAUCGAAUGAGAUAGUUUUCAAAAUAUAAAUUAAUAAUUAAAAACAAAAAACUAGCUGAUUAAAUAUUAUUGAAUUCAAUUCUACUAGUUCUAGGAUUUAUGACUUACCAUAAUUAUUUCUAUGUGAACUUUCUCAAUUGAAUUAAUUACUCCUAGUGUUGAUAAUCAUGUUUUUUUCUAAUUUAAACACUAAUCUUUCUCGAGUAUCAAUGAAUUAUUUCGACAAACAAGUUUCAUAUACUCUACGAAAUUUCUGAACUUUUUGAAAUUUAUUAAGUAUUGUAAAACCUUUAAUGAUUACAAAAGUUCCUAGAAUAUCUCUAUCCUAUAGAUUUCUUAAGGUAUUUCAAAUAAUGGCUAAAACAAUUAUCACUUCUCAGUCUCAAAUCAUGUCUCUCUGUGUGCCCCGCUGAACCCCUAUUUUUCUAUUUAAUAUUCUGGUCUUUUUAACCCCCAGGUGAAAAGAAGAAAAUUUCCUUCUCUCUUUCAUAAUCCUUUCCUAUUCGGGUAUUACGAGCUAGAUUGGAGGCAGGAAACGUGUGAAUUCAAAGAUCUCUAUUUCUGGAGAAAUUGUAGAAAAUUGAAUCUUCUUUCUAACAACACUGAUCUUGUAAUUUUUGGACCUCUAAGACUUGAGAUACAUGCCAUAACCCUAGACAACAUUUGGAGUGCAAGAAGGUCGGGUCUGAUUCAAUCCCUGCUUUUCGACUUGCUUUUUGGGCUUCAAAAUAGCAAAACUUAGUUCUAUGUCCUUUAUAUGUUUUGUAGAUCUUCAUCUCAAAUAUUUGAAAAUGGUGACGAAUGCCUGGAACUGAGUUGUAUAGAUUUCUUUGUAGCCCAAAAUCAAUCAAUGUUUGGUUUUACUACCGGAUUCUGCCUACUCAGUAUAAUAUCUAAAAACACAUUAAUUUUCCACAUGGUCAAUAGUUCAAAAAGGGUUCCAAAAUUCUAAUUAACUUGUGCAACACAUCUAAAAUAUUUCAAAAUCAAGCAUGAAUAGUGGAAAAUAUACAUGCUAAAAAUUCCCAUAUCAUACAUAAAAGCUAACCAGACAUGUAUGUUAAUAAUAAUAAUAAAAAAAGUGGAGACAUUAAAGUUGUAAAUAACAAAACUUGGACAUCAACGAGUGACGUGCUGUGUAGAGCAACGGUCUUCAAUAUAACUUUCGAGGUCAUUGACGGAUUGAAUGCUGACAAGGAUUAAUUCUUGAUUUAGAAAAUAUUACAAAUCAAGAAAACUAGAAAUCAGGAAGAAGUUUAGGAAAUAUUUUGAUAUAUUUCUAUGCUUAGGCUUCCAUCAUUAAAAAAUGAUUUAUUGUACAUGUAUAUAUACAAGUUUUAUGCAACAAAAAAAGAGCACAAUGAAUUGUUACAAACAAUUAUCUCUUAACUAUCCAGACACUGUUGACAUGGUAUCAGAGCAGACGAUCCGAAUCUAAACCUUUUUCAAAUCACAAACAACCUAUAACAUUGGCAGAAUUGAACCCACCAAACCAUGCUCAGAUUACAACCACAAAUUCCAGAAUUGACACUCAAACCAACUUUACCCAAAACCCUGACCUGCCAAUUGUUGUCCCUAGAAUCAAAACUUAAUGGCCAGAAUUAUGAACUAUGGUCACAGAUCAUGGAGAUGUUCAUCUUUGGCAGAGAAAAACUUGGAUUAAUCACUAGUGAAAUCAGACAGUCAAUACUUACCGACCCAACACACAGUAAAUGGAGAGCAAAAAAUACAAUUGUUAAAGGUUAGAUUAUCAAUUCCCUAACCUCAGAUUUAAUUGGGAAUUUUAUUAGGUUUCCUACAGCUAAAGGUGUUUGGGACGCCAUUGCCACAACAUACUUCGAUGGACGAGAUAAUGUCCAGGUAUAUGAUCUAAAAUGAAAAGUCAGUCGAACCAUAUAAGGGAGGGGUUCUCUAGAAGACUACUACACUAGCUUACAAUCUCUCUGGCGAGAGAUUGACUAUAGACGCCCAAAUCCCAUGACAUGCGAUGAGGAUAUACAGAAAUACAAUAAAUUAAUUCAAGAAUAUCGAAUUUAUACCUUCUUGGAUGGUGUGGAUGAUCAAUUUGAUCAGACCCGCCAAGACAUUCUUCAACAUAUCCCUUUGCCAUCGAUCGAGCAAGCCUUCACUCAAGUAAGAAGAGAGAACACUAGACGAACCGUGAUGAUGGAUGUCGCACGUGCCUCGUGUGACGUUGAUGAUGAUUUUUGUUGUUUGUUUGAUUGAUUUGAGAGUUUCCACCUAGUAUUUAAUUGAAGAUUACUAGGAAACCCAGAUGUACUGGUCUUUGUUAGAGAUUCACGGGUAAGGGACUGAUUAUGACUAAGAAAGAUAUUAAAUAUUAGCACCCCUAGCGCACCCUAACUGAGUUAAGUUACUUCAUGGUUUUGAUAUAUUAUAAAAGUUUUAAAGGUUGUCUUUUCAUUGGAUAUCAAGAAUACGUAUUACAUAUAAGCUCGUAAUCCUUAACCGUGAGCGAAUCAAACCAUUAAAUUCUUCUUGUCUUUUUUAAUUUUUUUUUUGUCCUUUUGGUUUUAUCAUUAAAAAAACACAUAAAAAAAGAUACAAACACCCAUACAUUACUUUUCAUUAUUUUUACUUGCACACACCCAUAACUACAUAUAAAAUUUCUUUUAUCUCAGCCCAUAAUGUCAGAUGCAACAAAGGUCUUCAUGGGAAAAGUAUCUUCAGAACAGGUCCCACGAAACAUUGAAGAACCUAUGCUAGAUUAAUACUAGAAGAUAGUUGUCUAUAAUGAAAUGAAAGCUCUCUAUAAUAAUAAUACUUGGGAACUAACUACAUUGCCAGAUGGAAAGAAAACAAUUGGAUGCAAAUGGGUGUUUACUAUGAAAUAUAAAGUAGAUGGGACAAUAGAAAGAUACAAAGCGAGACUAAUAGCUAAAGAAUAUACACAGACUUAUGGCAUAGACUAUCAGGAAACGUUCUCACCAGUAGCCAAACUGAACACAAUGCGGAUACUCCUAUCACUUGCAGCAAAUCUAGACUGGCCUUUACAUUAAUUUAAUGUAAAAAAGCAUUUUUUUCAUGGAGAUCUAGAGGAGGAAGUGUAUAUGGAUGUUCCUCCUGGUUUUACUAGAAAAAAAAGGAAGAAAAUGUGGUGUGUAGGCAUACAAAAUCACUUUAUGGACUCAAACAAUAUCCUAGAGCAUGGUUUGGAAGAUUUAGUCUAGCAUUGUGAAAGCAUAGAUUUAGCCAAAGCAACUCGGACCAUACACUAUUUCUGAAAAGAAAUGAGGGAAAAACAAUAGCCUUGAUUAUUUAUGUUGAUGAUAUGAUAGUCAUAGGAAAUGAUGAAGAAGGAAUUUCAUAAUUACAAAGGUAUCUAGCAAGUGAAUUUAAAAUGAAGGAUCUUGGUGGGUUGAAGUAUUUCUUGGGCAUCGAAGUAUAUAGAUCAAGAUUGGGCAUGUUCCUCUCACAAAGAAAGUAUGUAUUGGAUCUAUUAGCUAAGAUAGGUAUAUUGGAUUGCAAACUUGUAGAUAAAUCAAUCGUACAAAAUCAUUGUUUAGCGGAAUAUCCAGAUCAGGUUCGCACAAAUAGAGAAUGAUAUCAGAAAUUGGUGGGAAGAGUCAUCUACUGAUGUAACCAUAUUAUUCGAUAGUUUCACUCGCAUUUAACUAGUGUUUUGCCUAUCAUAUUUAUAUAAAAUGCCUUGAUAUUCUUUGUUUUAUGUUUUGAAGGCACUUUUGAAUGAAAGAUACAAAAAUGAGUAAAUUGGAGGUAAUUGGCAGAUUUGACGUUCAGUCGAUGUUUUGUGCAGAGCGUGAGUUCUAGAGGUCAAAACGAAGUGAUUCCAAUGGAAUUAAAAAGCUAACAUCCAUACCUUUCUGGAAAUGCAAUGCAAGAAAAAUAAAAAGAUAAAUAUCAUGGAAAUCACAUCCUUCAAAGUCAAAUCUCGCAGUCUGCCAAUGUUGACCUUUGCCCAUUCAAAAUUCAAUAUCUGGAGCUUCAGAAUUCCAAUUGAUGAAAACUCAAUUGUUUUGGAUUCCUUACUCAAAUAUAUAUAAACGCUCCAAAUUUCAGCCAAAAAAGAUGUCAUAUGAGGGAGAUAUGAGUUUUCAAAGAUGACAGCUGAAUUCUGCCAGCAAGUAGGUUGCGUGAAGAAACGAAUCCAAAUUUCAUCCAGAAGCAUCCAAACCGACCAACAAUUUAGCUCCUCUAGUAAAUAUUCUAGAAGGUCAAGGAAGGCAGCCACCAACCUCAAGGCAGCCACCAGUCAGCAGCCGCCAGCCGUCUUCACACUACCAUCAUCUAUUGAUGUUCACACUUGAACUUUGAUUUUCUUACUUACAAUUUGUGUAUAAAUAGAGGGAGAGGAGAAGGAGGUGGUAGUAAGAAGUGAGGAAACACAAACUCUCCUCUCUACAAAUCAGAAAUUAUGUAUUCUUCCAUCUUUAGGAGUAGUUGUUCAAUAGAUAUGCAAGGCUAAGCUCGUUUUCUUGGUUGCAAGGACACAACAAACCUUCGGAUUUCAAGAACCGUGAGAUUUAUUCUUCCUUUUAUUUUCAGUUUAUGUUAUGAAUGAGUAUGAUUGUUUUCCUAUGCAUAUUUCCUAUGAUUGUUUAUCUUAAUUGCUAGAGCGGACUCUAAGUUAUUAUUGUGAACAAUCUAUUGCUAAGUUUGAUAUCAAAACCGGAGUUGUGGUAUAUAAACUUGUGAAGCAACUAAGCUUGAUAAUUGUAGCGGAACUACGUUAUUAAACUUAGGGAGAACAUUCGAUCAAAGCAACACAAAUUGACAACUUGGUUGUUAAGAUUAAUGAAUUUAUCUGGAUCUUAAGGCUGCCAUUGGAUUAAAUCAUUAGUGCAGACACUGUGAUUGUUUGUUGGUUAGGGUUAGUUAUACGGCGGAUCCGUUAAUUAACCAAUAUUAAGGAAUAAUAAAAUUCAUAAUAUAAACUGGAGUUUCGUUUCAAGGAUCGAUUCUAAUUUCUGUUGGUGGAUGUGUGCUUGCAACCAAGGUUUGUUUUCUUGAUAUAUUUCAGUUUCAAUUGAUUUUGUUUGCUAGUUUAAUUGCUGCCAUAAUUUAGAUAAUCACAAACCAAAUCCCCCCAAUUACAUAACGUACAACAUAAAAAUUUGAACUAAACCUUUCUCGUGGGAUCGACCCCUUGCUUGCUCUAUACUAUCUUGUGUGUUGUGUUUGAAGCUAGGAUAAUUAAUUUGUGCGACCACGACAUCGCAACAUCUACCUUUAACAUACACGUCCUGAUAUCGCAUAUGCAAUCAGUCUAGUCAGCCAAUUCAUGCACAACCCAAGUGAAGUACAUAUGGAGGCAACAUUGCAAGUACUUACAUACUUAAAAUCCUCUCCGAGAAGAGGACUUCUUUUAUUAAAGAAUGACCACCUUAACAUCAUUGGUUAUACCAAUGCAGAUUGGGCAGGAAAUCUGACCGAUAAAAAGUCUACUUUAAGAUACUUUACCCUUGUUGGAGGAAACUUGGUGACCUUGAAAAGUAAAAAGCAAAAUGUUGUUGGUCUAUCUAGUGCUGAAGUAGAAUUCAAAUGGAUGACCAAAUGAUUAUAUGAAAUACUAUGGAUAAAGGGGCUACUUAAAGAGAUAUGAUAUCUUAUGGAGAUUGAGAUCAAGAUGUACUAUGACAACAAAGCUGCAAUUGUCAUAGCUAAUAAUUCAGUUCAACAUAAUCGAACUAAACAUGUGAAAGUAUAUAGACAUUUCAUCAAGCAGAAACUCGAUGAGAAGACUGAUUUUUCUUUUUGUCAAAUCUGAGGAUCACUUGGCAGAUAUAAUUACUAAAGCAGUAUCAAGUAAAGUGUUUCAUUGCUCUUUCAACAAGUUGGGCGUAUGAGAUAUCUUUGCAUCAAUUUGAGGGGGAGUGUUGACAAAAAUUAAUUCUUGGUUUAGAAAAUAUUACAAAUAAGGAAAACUAGAAACCAGGAAUAAGUUUAGGAAUUAGGAAUAAAUUUAGGAAAUAAUUUGAUAUAUUUCUAUUCUUUGGUUUCCAUCCUUAAAAAAGAUUUAUUUUACAUGUAUAUAUUCAAGUUUUAUGCAAUAAAAAAAGAACACAAUGAAUUGAUACUAAUAAUUAUCUCUCAACUGCCUAGACAAUGUUGAUAGAAUUCCUCCUAUCCCAGUAAUCUAAAAGGCAAGUGUUUGGUAUCGUUGCUGUUUUUUGUUUCUAAUAUUUUUGAAAUUAGUUUUUAAGAGAAAAAAACAAAACAGAAGAUAAAGAAUAAACUAACAAGAAGGAACAACGUGAGAUAUUUUUUUUAUAUUAUUUCUGUGUAGCUGCUGAUGCUUGAGGGUAUUUCGGAAAAAUAAGUAGCAAAGUUUCAGAAUAGGAAAACUGGCAAGAAAUAUAUACUUUCACUUUUAGAGCAAACCUGCCAAAUCAAAAUUACUUUUUCAUCAACUUCAACAAAUUAUACUCGAAUUGUUCUUGAGAAAUAGCAAAGCUUGAAACAAUUAGAUCCAUCGAUAUUCAGUACUCGGGCAUACAUCUUGCUAGACUUCGUGAGCCCCCCCACAAGGCAAUAAAUAAUACAGGAAGCAUGUUCUCUAAUCCUGCAACUUUAUUUCAGAUGCUGUUUUAUGAGCUUUUUUUUUUUUUUUACUUGGACAUAAACAUGGCCAGGCUUUAUUAGCAACAGCUUAAUCAAUCAAAUCUUGAUGAGCACCUUCACGCAAUCUGGUUGCUUUAACAGCUCAAAUGUUUUCUCGAUAUCUUGUAAUGUAACUUCAUGAGUCAAGAGUUCAUCAAGAUCGAAUUCCUGUCAGAAAUUAAGCAGACCCGCCAUCAGUUUCUCUUAAUUUAUGGAGUUCCUCAUUCCAGUGGUAUGCUAUUGUCGAGUAAGGUAAAUGAUUUUAUUUUAUUUUUCUUCAAUUAAUACGUUCACUCCACAUGCUAAUUUGAUAAGGACAUACCUUAUUUUUGCAUUUCUGAAAGAGGAUGGGAAGGUCGGAUUUUACUUUGAGCCCUCCAAAAAUGGACCCCUUUAGGGUUCUUCCACAAAAAAGAGGAAAGUAAUCGAUCUUUACGCUGUUGAUUCCUCCGCCUAUAAGAAUUGUUUUUCCUUUUCCCUAACAACCAGCAUAAGGGAGAAACUCGUAUUGAAUGGUCGUUUUCCGAACAUCUCAAAAAUCGAGUUAGAGUAUGAUUAGCAGAACAAAACAGAGCAUGGGUUAGAAGCAUGCAUAUAUAUAUACCUCUUUUGUGGCUUGGAUGGCUUGAUUAAUCAAGGACUCGGAACCAACGCACUCAAAGCAAUAAUCCACUCCCACUCCACCAGUCAGGUCUUUUAUCAUUUGUGAAAUAGAUUUAUCCGAACACUCAUCAGGGUUCAUGAAAUCGGUCAUUCCAAAAGCUAGCCCCUUGUCUUUUUUCAUACUGUUCUUAUCAACGCCGAUUAUCUUCGCUGCCCCUAGCAUUCGAGCUCCUUCUGUGACCUGCAUUUACAGAGAUUUUUGAGAGACAAAUAAGGGUAUCAGCAAAAUAUUCUUUUCUUCUCAAGGAAAGGAAAGGAACAAAACCAACCCCGAGUCCAACAGCACCAAGGCCUAAAACAGCCACAGUCGAUCCCGUUUUAAUCUGAGCUUCCUUCCAAGCUGCUCCAAAUCCAGUUGAAAAUCCACAUGAUAGAACACUGGCAUGAGGCAGAGGUAUGCUUGGAUCAAUCUUGUUUACAUAAUUGUAAUCAAUAACCAUGUAUUCGGACCAAGUGGAGCAAUUAAACAUGUGAUACAGCUUCUGCCCUUUGAUGGACAUUCUUGAAGUGCCAUCUGACAUUACACCACUAAUGCUUAGAGGGUAUGUCAGGCAUAAAUUGGUGUUCGCUGAUGUACAAUUCUCGCAGGCUUCACACUCUGCUAACAUUGUUGGUAUCACAUAAUCUCCCUCUUCAAGACCA